UAUAUUAUUGUUUAUUAUACUUACAAUGGAUCUAUCACUAAACGGAAGAGAAAAACUAUGCACAGCUUUUGUUUUUCUUCAGUUAAAAAAAAGUAUAUAAGAAAUUAAAAGGUAACUGUAAGAUACAUAUCUGGCGUAUUCGUUAGAACGUGUUGACGAGAUUAAUGUUAUAGUAAAUUGAUUAAACCAUAAUUAGUUAAAAUAUAAAUAAAUAAAUAAACAAAAUUGUAACGUGUAAGAGUGUUUUGAUUGUCAGUUAGGAUGAAGUGCGUGUUUUCAUUGUUAGUUAUGAUGAAGUGUGUUUUCAUUGUUAGUUAGGAUGAAGAGUGUUUUCAUUGUCAGUUAUGAUGAAGUGUGUUUUCAUUGUCAGUUAGGAUGAAGAGUGUUUUCAUUGUCAGUUAGGAUGAAGUGUGUGUUUUCAUUGUCAGUUAUGAUGAAGUGUGUUUUCAUUGUCAGUUAUGAUGAAGUGUGUUUUCAUUGUUAGGAUGAAGUGUGUUUUCGUUGUCAGUUAUGAUGAAGUGUGUUUUCAUUGUUAGGAUGAAGUGUUUUUUCAUUGUCAGUUAUGAUGAAGUGUGUUUUUAUUGUUAGUUAGGAUGAAGUGUGUUUUCAUUGUCAGUUAUGAUGAAGUAUGUUUUCAUUGUCAGUAAUGAUGAAGUGUGUUUUCAUUGUCAGUUAGGAUGAAGUGUGUUUUCAUUGUUAGUUAGGAAGAAGUGUGUGUUGUCAUUAAAGGAACUUCUUGAAUCGUAGGUUGAGGUGAAGAUGGAGAAUUAGAGUCACAUAGGCUUCGUAUUUGCCGCC
rnacentral:sRNA from 1 species